rnacentral:rRNA from 1 species
CACAUGCAAGUCGAGGGGCAGCCUGAACUUACCUUGCUAAGUUUGAUGGCGACCGGCGCACGGGUGAGUAACACGUAUCCAACCUGCCGAUGACUCGGGGAUAGCCUUUCGAAAGAAAGAUUAAUACCCGAUGGCAUAGUUCUUCCGCAUGGUGGAACUAUUAAAGAAUUUCGGUCAUCGAUGGGGAUGCGUUCCAUUAGGUUGUUGGCGGGGUAACGGCCCACCAAGCCUUCGAUGGAUAGGGGUUCUGAGAGGAAGGUCCCCCACAUUGGAACUGAGACACGGUCCAAACUCCUACGGGAGGCAGCAGUGAGGAAUAUUGGUCAAUGGACGAGAGUCUGAACCAGCCAAGUAGCGUGAAGGAUGACUGCCCUAUGGGUUGUAAACUUCUUUUAUACGGGAAUAAAGUGAGGCACGUGUGCCUUUUUGUAUGUACCGUAUGAAUAAGGAUCGGCUAACUCCGUGCCAGCAG